rnacentral:rRNA from 1 species
AUGUACAUAGGAUGUUGUUCAACUACACUACCACAAGGCAAAGCUUUGAUGGAUCAGCUUGCUGCAUAUGAGCCUAAUCCUGACAUGAUGCAUUACACCACUAGUUUCAUCGAUGGUUUAAAGCCUGCUGUUCGUGUUAUUAUGGCUGUUCAGCGGCCUCCAGACCUCGACACGGCGUACUGUAUUGCAUCUGUGCAGGAGGAGGUCGGAGAGGGAGACACCGAGAUCAAUUCUUCCGGAUACAGUACAAGACCCAGCUCGUCUGCACCCAGUCGCACAUGCCGAUCCAAGUUACACUGA